AACGAACGCUGGCGGCGCGCCUAAUACAUGCAAGUCGAGCGAGAAGACGUAGCAAUACGUUUGUAAAGCGGCGAACGGGUGAGGAAUACAUGGGUAACCUACCCUCGAGUGGGGAAUAACUAGCCGAAAGGUUAGCUAAUACCGCGUACGCUCCUUGGACUUCGGUUCAGGGAGGAAAGCGAUACCGUGGGUAUCGCGCUCUUGGAUGGGCUCAUGUCCUAUCAGCUUGUUGGUGAGGUAACGGCUCACCAAGGCUUCGACGGGUAGCUGGUCUGAGAGGACGAUCAGCCACACUGGCACUGCGACACGGGCCAGACUCCUACGGGAGGCAGCAGUGAGGAAUAUUGCGCAAUGGGCGAAAGCCUGACGCAGCGACGCCGCGUGGGGGAUGAAGGUCUUCGGAUUGUAAACCCCUUUCGGGAGGGAAGAUGGAAUGGGGUAACCCAUUCGGACGGUACCUCCAGAAGCAGCCACGGCUAACUUCGUGCCAGCGGCCGCGGUAACAC
rnacentral:rRNA from 1 species